UGGGGAAUAUUGGACAAUGGGCGCAAGCCUGAUCCAGCCAUGCCGCGUGAGUGAUGAAGGCCUUAGGGUUGUAAAACUCUUUCACCGGUGAAGAUAAUGACGGUAGCCGGAGAAGAAGCCCCGGCUAACUCCGUGCCAGCAGCCGCGGUAAUACGGAGGGGGCUAGCGUUGUUCGGAAUUACUGGGCGUAAAGCGCACGUAGGCGGAUUGGUCAGUUGGGGGUGAAAUCCCAAGGCUUAACCUUGGAACUGCCUCCAAAACUGCCAGUCUUGAGUCUGGGAGAGGUGAGUGGAAUUCCUAGUGUAGAGGUGAAAUUCGUAGAUAUUAGGAAGAACACCAGUGGCGAAGGCGGCUCACUGGCCCGGUACUGACGCUGAGGUGCGAAAGCGUGGGGAGCGAACAGGAUUAGAUACCCCCGUAGUCC
rnacentral:rRNA from 1 species